rnacentral:rRNA from 1 species
UAAGUUAUUAAGGGCGCACGGUGGAUGCCUUGGCACUAGAAGCCGAUGAAGGACGUUACUAACGACGAUAUGCUUUGGGGAGCUGUAAGUAAGCUUUGAUCCAGAGAUUUCCGAAUGGGGAAACCCAGCAUGAGUUAUGUCAUGUUAUCGAUAUGUGAAUACAUAGCAUAUCAGAAGGCACACCCGGAGAACUGAAACAUCUUAGUACCCGGAGGAAGAGAAAGAAAAUUCGAUUCCCUUAGUAGCGGCGAGCGAAACGGGAAGAGCCCAAACCAACAAGCUUGCUUGUUGGGGUUGUAGGACACUCUAUACGGAGUUACAAAGGACGACAUUAGACGAAUCAUCUGGAAAGAUGAAUCAAAGAAGGUAAUAAUCCUGUAGUCGAAAAUGUUGUCUCUCUUGAGUGGAUCCUGAGUACGACGGAGCACGUGAAAUUCCGUCGGAAUCUGGGAGGACCAUCUCCUAAGGAUAAAUACUCUCUAGUGACCGAUAGUGAACCAGUACCGUGAGGGAAAGGUGAAAAGCACCCCGGAAGGGGAGUGAAAUAGAACCUGAAACCGUGUGCUUACAAGUAGUCAGAGCCCGUUAAUGGGUGAUGGCGUGCCUUUUGUAGAAUGAACCGGCGAGUUACGAUUUGAUGCAAGGUUAAGCAGUAAAUGUGGAGCCGUAGCGAAAGCGAGUCUGAAUAGGGCGUUUAGUAUUUGGUCGUAGACCCGAAACCAGGUGAUCUACCCUUGGUCAGGUUGAAGUUCAGGUAACACUGAAUGGAGGACCGAACCGACUUACGUUGAAAAGUGAGCGGAUGAACUGAGGGUAGCGGAGAAAUUCCAAUCGAACCUGGAGAUAGCUGGUUCUCUCCGAAAUAGCUUUAGGGCUAGCCUCAAGUGAUGAUUAUUGGAGGUAGAGCACUGUUUGGACGAGGGGCCCCUCUCGGGUUACCGAAUUCAGACAAACUCCGAAUGCCAAUUAAUUUAACUUGGGAGUCAGAACAUGGGUGAUAAGGUCCGUGUUCGAAAGGGAAACAGCCCAGACCACCAGCUAAGGUCCCAAAAUAUAUGUUAAGUGGAAAAGGAUGUGGCGUUGCCCAGACAACUAGGAUGUUGGCUUAGAAGCAGCCAUCAUUUAAAGAGUGCGUAAUAGCUCACUAGUCGAGUGACACUGCGCCGAAAAUGUACCGGGGCUAAACAUAUUACCGAAGCUGUGGAUUGUCCUUUGGACAAUGGUAGGAGAGCGUUCUAAGGGCGUUGAAGCAUGAUCGUAAGGACAUGUGGAGCGCUUAGAAGUGAGAAUGCCGGUGUGAGUAGCGAAAGACGGGUGAGAAUCCCGUCCACCGAUUGACUAAGGUUUCCAGAGGAAGGCUCGUCCGCUCUGGGUUAGUCGGGUCCUAAGCUGAGGCCGACAGGCGUAGGCGAUGGAUAACAGGUUGAUAUUCCUGUACCACCUAUAAUCGUUUUAAUCGAUGGGGGGACGCAGUAGGAUAGGCGAAGCGUGCGAUUGGAUUGCACGUCUAAGCAGUAAGGCUGAGUAUUAGGCAAAUCCGGUACUCAUUAAGGCUGAGCUGUGAUGGGGAGAAGACAUUGUGUCUUCGAGUCGUUGAUUUCACACUGCCGAGAAAAGCCUCUAGAUAGAAAAUAGGUGCCCGUACCGCAAACCGACACAGGUAGUCAAGAUGAGAAUUCUAAGGUGAGCGAGCGAACUCUCGUUAAGGAACUCGGCAAAAUGACCCCGUAACUUCGGGAGAAGGGGUGCUCUUUAGGGUUAACGCCCAGAAGAGCCGCAGUGAAUAGGCCCAAGCGACUGUUUAUCAAAAACACAGGUCUCUGCUAAACCGUAAGGUGAUGUAUAGGGGCUGACGCCUGCCCGGUGCUGGAAGGUUAAGAGGAGUGGUUAGCUUCUGCGAAGCUACGAAUCGAAGCCCCAGUAAACGGCGGCCGUAACUAUAACGGUCCUAAGGUAGCGAAAUUCCUUGUCGGGUAAGUUCCGACCCGCACGAAAGGCGUAACGAUUUGGGCACUGUCUCAACGAGAGACUCGGUGAAAUCAUAGUACCUGUGAAGAUGCAGGUUACCCGCGACAGGACGGAAAGACCCCGUGGAGCUUUACUGUAGCCUGAUAUUGAAAUUCGGCACAGCUUGUACAGGAUAGGUAGGAGCCUUUGAAACGUGAGCGCUAGCUUACGUGGAGGCGCUGGUGGGAUACUACCCUAGCUGUGUUGGCUUUCUAACCCGCACCACUUAUCGUGGUGGGAGACAGUGUCAGGCGGGCAGUUUGACUGGGGCGGUCGCCUCCUAAAAGGUAACGGAGGCGCUCAAAGGUUCCCUCAGAAUGGUUGGAAAUCAUUCAUAGAGUGUAAAGGCAUAAGGGAGCUUGACUGCGAGACCUACAAGUCGAGCAGGGUCGAAAGACGGACUUAGUGAUCCGGUGGUUCCGCAUGGAAGGGCCAUCGCUCAACGGAUAAAAGCUACCCCGGGGAUAACAGGCUUAUCUCCCCCAAGAGUUCACAUCGACGGGGAGGUUUGGCACCUCGAUGUCGGCUCAUCGCAUCCUGGGGCUGUAGUCGGUCCCAAGGGUUGGGCUGUUCGCCCAUUAAAGCGGUACGCGAGCUGGGUUCAGAACGUCGUGAGACAGUUCGGUCCCUAUCCGUCGUGGGCGUAGGAAAUUUGAGAGGAGCUGUCCUUAGUACGAGAGGACCGGGAUGGACAUACCUCUGGUGUACCAGUUGUCGUGCCAACGGCAUAGCUGGGUAGCUAUGUGUGGACGGGAUAAGUGCUGAAAGCAUCUAAGCAUGAAGCCCCCCUCAAGAUGAGAUUUCCCAACUUCGGUUAUAAGAUCCCUCAAAGAUGAUGAGGUUAAUAGGUUCGAGGUGGAAGCAUGGUGACAUGUGGAGCUGACGAAUACUAAUCGAUCGAAGACUUAAUCA